AUUGAACGCUGGCGGCAUGCUUUACGCAUGCAAGUCGAACGGUAACAGGCCUUCGGGUGCUGACGAGUGGCGAACGGGUGAGUAAUGCAUCGGAACGUACCCAGAGGUGGGGGAUAACGCAGCGAAAGCUGUGCUAAUACCGCAUGUGAUCUGAGGAUGAAAGCGGGGGACCGAGCAGCAAUGUUUGGCCUCGCGCCUUUGGAGCGGCCGAUGUCGGAUUAGCUAGUUGGUGGGGUAAAGGCCUACCAAGGCGACGAUCCGUAGCUGGUCUGAGAGGACGACCAGCCACACUGGGACUGAGACACGGCCCAGACUCCUACGGGAGGCAGCAGUGGGGAAUUUUGGACAAUGGGCGCAAGCCUGAUCCAGCAAUGCCGCGUGCGGGAAGAAGGCCUUCGGGUUGUAAACCGCUUUUGGCAGGAACGAAACGGUGUCCGCUAAUACCGGGCGCUAAUGACGGUACCUGCAGAAUAAGCACCGGCUAACUACGUG
rnacentral:rRNA from 1 species